GGCUUGGAUGUGGCUUACCUAUCGUGCUGGGAGCCCCCAGGUUGAUUUCUAACCAAUUCUACACAAACUGGUCGAGGUGCAUUGCCUGUAAUCCCAGUACUUUCCAGGUGGAGGCAGGAGGAUCAUAAAUUCAAGCCUUGGGUCAGAGACGAGCAAUGCUGCAAGCCAAUCGGAUUUAACAAUCUCUCCAUUUUGCCAGUAACUCGCCCUAGGUGUGGAGGAAAUCGGUUCAGUAUUGCCCCAGCAGGAAGACCCCAUCUGUGAGCAGUGAGUGCCUGGACGUGCUAACACUGGGACUCGCCAGUUAUUCUGUGCUGGGGUUUGCUGAAUGGGACGAUUUCUUAGAGAACAGUUUAGACAGUGUGGUGCUCGAUUCUGAGCAGAGUAGAUGGUAAAUAAACAGUUGCACUGUCAGGGGCCGGCACUGCUGACAGUUUGGCCUCCUUUGUACAAACAGAAAUACAAAUAAAAACAGAGUUCUUGGA